rnacentral:rRNA from 1 species
GACGAACGCUGGCGGCGUGCUUAACACAUGCAAGUCGAACGGAAAGGCCUGCUUUCCCUUGUGGAUUGCGGGUACUCGAGUGGCGAACGGGUGAGUAACACGUGAGUGAUCUGCCCCCAACUUGGGUAUAAGCCUGGGAAACUGGGUCUAAUUCCCGAUAGGACUGCAGGGUGGUGCCUGUGGUGGAAAACGAUUUUCUAGUGGUUGGGGAUGAGCUCGCGGCCUAUCAGCUUGUUGGUGGGGUAAUGGCCUACCAAGGCGGCGACGGGUAGCCGGCCUGGGAGGGUGGACGGCCACAUUGGGACUGAGAUACGGCCCAGACUCCUACGGGAGGCAGCAGUGGGGAAUAUUGGACAAUGGGCGGAAGCCUGAUGCAGCGACGCCGCGUGGGGGAUGACGGCCUUCGGGUUGUAAACUCCUUUCGACCGCGAGGAAGCCACCUGGUUGGAAGGGUGGUGACGGUAGUGGUAGAAGAAGCACCGGCUAACUACGUG